ACUACAAACCGUGCUAUCGUCUCUCAGUAUUAUGGGGGAAGGAAAGUCCGGACAGCGCAGAGCAACACACCACCUAACGGGUGGGGCCCGGCUUGCCGGGUACAGCGAGUGCCACAGAAAAUAACCGCCUCACUGCAAAGCGGGGUAAGGGUGAAAAUGUGGGGUAAGAGCCCACGGUAUAGGCAGGUAACUGUUUGUGCGGGUAAACCUUGUGUGCUGAAAUGCCAUGUAUACGGUCGUUUGAGGGCUGCUCGCCCGAUGACCGAGGGUAGGCAGAUACAGUUGACGUGUGAGCGUCAUCGCAGAUAAAUGAUAGCAAUCCCCGGCUUCGGCAGGGGAGACAGAAUCCGGCUUACAGGUUUGUAGUUUUU
rnacentral:RNase_P_RNA from 1 species